rnacentral:rRNA from 1 species
UACGUAGGGUGCAAGCGUUGUCCGGAAUUAUUGGGCGUAAAGAGCUCGUAGGCGGUUUGUCGCGUCUGCUGUGAAAACCCGAGGCUCAACCUCGGGCCUGCAGUGGGUACGGGCAGACUAGAGUGCGGUAGGGGAGAUUGGAAUUCCUGGUGUAGCGGUGGAAUGCGCAGAUAUCAGGAGGAACACCAAAUGGCGAAGGCAGAUCUCUGGGCCGUAACUGACGCUGAGGAGCGAAAGCAUGGGGAGCGAACAGG